rnacentral:rRNA from 1 species
AUUGAACGCUGGCGGCAUGCCUUACACAUGCAAGUCGAACGGCAGCACGGGUGCUUGCACCUGGUGGCGAGUGGCGAACGGGUGAGUAAUACAUCGGAACGUACCUUAUCGUGGGGGAUAACGCAGCGAAAGCUGUGCUAAUACCGCAUACGCCCUGAGGGGGAAAGCGGGGGAUCGAAAGACCUCGCGCGACUAGAGCGUCCGAUGCCUGAUUAGCUUGUUGGUGGGGUAAAAGCCCACCAAGGCGACGAUCAGUAGCCGGUCUGAGAGGACGAUCAGCCACACUGGGACUGAGACACGGCCCAGACUCCUACGGGAGGCAGCAGUGGGGAAUUUUGGACAAUGGGGGCAACCCUGAUCCAGCAAUGCCGCGUGAGUGAAGAAGGCCUUCGGGUUGUAAAGCUCUUUUGUCAGGGAAGAAACACCGGCUCUAACACAGUCCGGGAAUGACGGUACCUGAAGAAUAAGCACCGGCUAACUACGUGCCAGCCGCCGCGGUAA